rnacentral:ncRNA from 1 species
CUAAUAUAUAACAUUAUAAGUACAGUCAACUCAAAAUUGGUAUAGACAAGGGGAAUCCAACUAUUUAAUUAAAACAAAGCAUUGUGAUGGUCUAUGUGGACGUUGACACAAUGUGAUUUAUGUCUAGUGCUAUGCAUGUCAAAGUGAAUAAAUUCAACCAAGUGCACGUAAAUGAUGGGAGUAACUAUGACUCUCUUAAGGUAUCCAAAUGCCUUGUCAUCUAAUUAAGGAUGUACGUGAAUGGAUUAACGAGAUUACCACUAUCCCUAUAUACUAUCUAGAUAAACCACAACCAAUGGAAUGGGAUUCGAAGAAUCAAUGGGGAAAGAAGACCAUGUUGAGCUUGACUAUAGUCUGACUUUGUGAAAUGAAUUGAGAGGUGUAGAAUAAGUGGGAUCUGUUUUCAACGUAAGUGAAAUACCACUACUUUUAAUGUUAUUUUACUUAUUCCAUGGGGCAGAGACGGGGCAUUGCCCUUUUUUUUGGCCAUAAGACACAUUUCGGCAGGUCAAUCUAGGUGGAAGACAUUGUUAGGUGGUGAGUUUGGUUGGGGAGGCACAACUAUUAAAAGAUAACACCUGUGUCCUAAGAUGAGCUCAACAAGAAUAGAAAUCUCAAGUGGAACAAAAGGGUAAAAUCUCAUUUUAUUUGCCACCAAGAUCUUGAUCCUUAUAAUUAAUUGAUGGAUAUGAAUUAAUAAAUCAAUUAUAUGUUUGCAUGCAUCAACAUAGUUAAUUUAAAAUACUAAUUACUUGAGUGA